rnacentral:tRNA from 1 species
GUGGCUGUGGCUCAGUGGAAGAGCACUUGCCUAGCAUGUGUGAGGUACUGGGUUCGAUUCUUAGCACACAUA